GCCGUCGUGGUGUAGUAGUCAGCACGCUCGACACCUAACUGAGAGGUCCGUGGUUCGAUUCCCGAUGAGGGCA
rfam:Stegodyphus mimosarum contig110838, whole genome shotgun sequence.